ensembl:lncRNA
CCAGCUCAUCAGUUGUCUAUGAUCUGCCAUAGCUCCUUGCUUUUGGGACGCUACAGACUGAACUCUUGUCCAUUUCUUGUUUAUAGUUUGUAGUGUUCUGGCCCUGAACCAUGUACAGAUAGCAAGAAGCAAAGUAUCAGGAUGUAAAAAGUAUGCAGGUAUACUAGUGAAAGAGUAUGCAGGUAUACUUGUGAAAGAUGUAAAGAGUACGCAGGUAUACUAGUGAAAGAGUAUGCAGGUAUACUAGUGAAAGAUGUAAAGAGUACGCAGGUAUACUAGUGAAAGAUUGAAAGAGUAUGCAGGUAUACUAGUGAAAGAUGUAAAGAGUACGCAGGUAUACUAGUGAAAGAUGUUAAGAGUACACAGAUAUACUAGUGAAAGAUGUAAAGAGUAUGCAGGUAUAGUAGUGAAAGAGUACGCAGGUAUACUAGUGAAAGAUGUUAAGAGUACACAGAUAUACUAGUGAAAGAUGUAAAGAGUAUGCAGGUAUAGUAGUGAAAGAGUACGCAGGUAUACUAGUGAAAGAUGUUAAGAGUACACAGAUAUACUAGUGAAAGAUGUAAAGAGUAUGCAGGUAUAGUAGUGAAAGAGUACGCAGGUAUACUAGUGAAAGAUGUUAAGAGUACACAGAUAUACUAGUGAA